AUUUAUUGCUUUCAGAUACAUAUCUAUCUAUCUAUCUACCUGUUGUUACUUGUGCCCACUUGGACCUAGUGGGGAGAUCGGCAGAGUCGGCGGCCGAGCCCACUGGGAACUAUGGAAGAUAGUUCUCACCCCACUCUAUUUCCAGUGGUAGGUUCAGGGCUGCAGAGAGAGGACCGCGGCACGGGCGUCGCGCCCGACCAUCAGUGAGGCCGUGGUAGUAUAGUAGCAUUCCUUUUGCAUUAGCACGCCUAUGUACUGAGAGGGAUUCAUGUAGGUGAGGUUGGAGAGCUAUGUAUUUUGAGGAUCAAAUGUAUUCAUUUUGGAAAAAGAUGUAAAUGUAAAGGAUGCAACUAUUGUAAUAGUUAGUAAAGUACUCUCUUUAU
rnacentral:lncRNA from 1 species